rnacentral:rRNA from 1 species
AGAGUUUGAUCAUGGCUCAGGAUGAACGCUAGCUACAGGCUUAACACAUGCAAGUCGAGGGGAAACGAUAUUGGAAGCUUGCUUCCGAUAGGCGUCGACCGGCGUACGGGUGAGUAACGCGUAUCCAACCCGCCCACCACGUUGGGGAUAACCUUGACGAAAGUAAGACUAAUACCCAAUGACGUCUCUAGAAGACAUCUAGAAAGAGAUUAAAGUAUUUAUCGGUGAUGGAGUGGGGAUGCGUCUGAUUAGCUUGUUGGGCGGGGUAACCGGCCCACCAAGGCGACGAUCAGGUAGGGUUCUGAGAGGAACGGCCCCCACAUUGGAACUGAGACACGGUCCAAACUCCUACGGGAGGCAGCA